rnacentral:rRNA from 1 species
UACAGAGGGUGCGAGCGUUGUUCGGAAUUAUUGGGCGUAAAGGGCGCGUAGGCGGUGCGGUAAGUCACCUGUGAAACCUCUGGGCUUAACUCAGAGCCUGCAGGCGAAACUACCGUGCUGGAGUGUGGGAGAGGUGCGUGGAAUUCCCGGUGUAGCGGUGAAAUGCGCAGAUAUCAGGAGGAACACCAAUUGCGAAGGCAGCUCGCUGGGACGGUACUGACGCUGAGACGCGAAAGCGUGGGGAGCAAACAGG